GCGUCUGUAUUCCGUAGGAACACUGUCAUACAGCCCGCCAGAGUGGAUCUACCUCAAGCGCUACCACGGCGAGGAGGCGACCAUCUGGUCCCUGGGCAUCCUGCUCUACCAGAUGGUCUGCGGGAAGCACCCUUUCCGCAAAGGCCCCAACACCAUCUGGGCCCAGCUCCCGUUCCCAGCACGGGUCUCUCCAGGUGGAUACCAAUCUUUGUGGCACGGGGGGAAUAACGGUGUUGGGAGAGGGCAGCGGGCUCACGAGGACGCCGCUCUUGAAGCUGUUUGUGUCCCAUGGGUGGCUGGAGGAGGUGGCCUGUGUCCUGCCAUCCUGCUCUCCUCCAAAAGGGAGAAUCGAUGGAGAAGUUUGGGCACAGCUCUGAGCACAGCCAGCACAGCCUGGGCACGUGGACAGUGGGACAGAGGGGACAGGAUCCUUCUCCAACUGACCGGCCAUUUUCCCCCCAGGCUGCCAGCACCUUAUCAGGUGGUGUUUGUCCAUCCGCCCCUCGGACAGGCCAGCACUGGAAGACCUGUUGUGCCAUCCUUGGGUGCAGGGCAUUCCCCUGCCCUAGAAGACGGGAGAGAUCCACGUGCUCCCUUUGAUCCCGGGGCCUGGCAGACAGCUGGGCCCUCGGCAGAACGCUGACAGCCUGGUCUGGCCCCCAGGGAAGGAGAAGGGGCCUCUGGAGAAGCUGUGCCGGGUGGGCCUGCUGCUGGAGACAUCGAGGACGACGUCAGGGAUGACAAGCUCUCAGUUGACCUGGACGCCGGCGAGCUGAAGAGGAUGGCCUUUGAUUCUGGCCCCUUCCUCCAAGCCGUGCUCCACACGCCGUUUGCAGAUGAGUCCACACCCAGGGGGUGCUCCCGGACACGGGCAUUGCUCAGCCUGGCUGGGCACCGAAGGUUCCCCCUUUGCUGAUGGGGAACCUGAGGAAUUCUUCAGCCGGCUGCCAAGCUGCUUCUUGGCAGGAGGGCGGGCGGGUGCUCUGGGCUGGCUGUGAAAUGGGAGCCCGGCUCUGCCCCCAGCCUCUGCCACUGCCCCUUUGCUGGGCGGGGCUGGGGCAGGGGCAGCCAGCCUGCCAAAAACAAACCCCCGUGGGGGGAGCAAAGGCAGGGCUGCAGAACACCAGCUGCUUUGGGCUGCAGGCCAGGAAAGGCUUGGGCUGCCUUGGCUUAGGAGCCUUUCUUUGGGCCAGUGCUGCAGGGCAGGGAGAAGGCCUGGGUUUUCCUCAGCUGGAGGAGGUGGGGUUUUCCUUUGGCCUGCAGGGCUUGGGCCUUCCUCAGAACCCUGACAGAAGGUUAACAUUUUACCUUUUUUUCUUGUUUCCACUUUUGGUUUGUAAUCUCUGUUCAUGAAUUUGUUGUUUGUUUUCCAGGGAAGAGUUGGAGCUGGUGCCCAGUCCGGGUUGGGAAGGGCUGGGACCAUCCCUGGAGAGGAUCUGACGUCCCCUCUGAGAAGGCUGAGGACAUCCUUUGGGACAUGCUCUUCUUGCAGCAGCAGAUCUUGGGAGACAGGACACCUCUGCCUGAUCUCCCGCGGAUCCGAGGGAUCUCUGGAUCUUCACGCCAGCACCAGGACUUUGCUGCAGAAGAGCACAGAUCCCCAGCCCAGUCUGGGACACAGAACGUGUGAAAGGGCAGAAAGAUUGUGGUGUGAAUGCAGCGCCCUCAGAGCCCUUGGUGUGAGCCCGGAAAGGAAAAUCAAGCUGAGGGACAAGAUCAGUCUAAUUUGGGGACAUUGUUGGAGGUUGGAGUUGCAGUUCUGGAAGAAAUCCCUGAGGAAAUGGUGCCCCCGGGGAGAGGAAGAGGACGAGAGCAUGGGCAGCCUGCUUCAAACAUCCCCCCAGGAGACUUGGGAGCAGUCCCUGUGCAUCCUGUAAGAAAGAUGGACACUGGAAAUGGGAUUGUCCACAACUGAAACUUCAGAACCCUCCGAACCCUCUCGUGGCAUCACUGAAGACGACUGAGGGGGCACCAGAGGAUUCUUCCCCAUCAGAACAUCUGGUUCCAGCCAAGCUAAGCACAAUUGUUUGUGGCUGUGGGAACUUGUUCCUCUGUGUUAAAUCCAGGGAAAUGAAACUCAAGGGACAAUUCUAGAACAAUUGUCUGGUGUGCCAGGGAAUUGGGAAACUGGGCCAUUUUUAAUGCUGUGGCUUUGAAAUUGGGAAAACAGUGGUUGGCUCCCCAGUUUUUGUAUUUCCCCAAUUCCCCAAAGCCUCUGCUUGGGAGAGAUCUCUUGGCAAAAUGAAAUGCCACAAUCCAAUUGAAAAAUGGUCCAAUAUAGGUUAUUAUUGCAGAGCCUAAUUCUGUGGAAGUUUCUAGUUUUGCAUGAGAGUCUCCCAAAGCAGAAGUAAUCCAUCUGCCACCAUCACUUGGGGAUGCAGUGGUUCCAACAGGAUGGGCUGGAGAGGUGCCUCCAUGAUCCAAGAGAGCAGAACCCGUGAGAAUUCCAGAGAAACCUGGAGUGGGGUUGGUGAGGCCAAAGCAAUGUCCUUUGCAAAUAGAAAGUUGUAAGGGAUUCUCACCCUUUGUAGAACAAUUGAUGAAAUUUUGCUUGUGAAAAGAAUGUGAAUCUAAAUGGAAUGCUCCAGUUUUGCCAGUCAAGCAGGCAAAUGGAAGGCUAUGCCAGUUAGUCCAAGACCUUAGAGCUGUAAAGAACAGAGUAGAAGAUAUACAAGCAGUCAUAGUGAAUCCUUACACUUUGCUAACUCCCCUAAAUGAGGGUUUAAUAUGUUUCACAGCAUUAGGUUUGAAAACUGCCUUUUUGUGUCUCCCUUUGAGUUGGGAAAGUCAAGAGCUUUUUGCUUUCCAAUGGGAAAAUGCAAAGCCGGGGAGGAAAACCCAUCUGACUUUGGUGGUCCUCUUGCAGGGGUUUAAAAAUAGGCCCCAAUAUUUGGAACUCAAUUGGCAAAGGGACUGGAGGAAUGGAGAAGUCCAAACCCACCCUCUUGGAGCCUUAUUGCAGUGUGGGGAUGAUCUUUUGAUGCCACUGAUGCUGAGCAGCAACGUUGGGGUCAGACUGUGGCCCUGUGGAAUUUCCUUGGGCUGAGUGGAUAUGGGGUAUCCCAAACACAAAGUGCAAGUAGUCCAGAGCCCAGGAGCCUCCGUGGGCUUUGGAAUUCUCCAAGGACAAGGGAGGCUGGGCCAGGAAGGAAAGAAGCAACCUGUCAACUGCCCCAGCCCCAGCAAAGGAAGCCCAGAGCGGGAUUGCUUCCAGACUAGAGGAGAAGUGUAUUGGGGCAGAGCUGACUUAGGAGACAGCCCCUUGGAAAGUCCUGGUUGGGAAUUGUUUCCCAGUGGGGGCAGCUUUGUCCGGCAUGGAAAACAAUUCUCUGGAUGCACAGAACUCCCCACCACCAGGUCAGAGAUCCUGACAGAGAUCCUUCUCCCAGUAGAAGAAAAUGAGUCUAGUGCUAAGGAUUGUCAACUCCUUGAAACCGUAGAGCAAACUUUGCUCCAGGAGGCUGGGCAGUUCCCCCAAGUGGGCAAAUAAUAGUCCCUGAGCCAAUCUCCUGUGACCUGGUGGAUGGGGAACAUGAGGGGAUUCCUUGGAGUGAAGCAAAUUAUUGAAACAUUUGCCCAAGUGGGUUCUUGGUCCAAAACUGACCCCAGUUGUACAAGCAGUGAGUCAGCAGUGUGGUGUGUGGAAGAGAAAUAAUCCAAACCCUGCCACUGGAGUGGGAACAGGUGAUGGAAAAUGCAGAAAUGCUGCAGGUGAAUGUUGGCAGAUGGAUGUGACUGAAUUGCCCAGAAAAGGGGGGUGUAAAGAUCUCCUGGUCUUGGGGGAUACCUUCUCUGGGUGGCCAGAGGCUGUUCCUUGUUGCACUAAGCAGGUUGGGAAAGAGACUGCAAUCCUGUUCAGUGCAAUCCUCCCUGUAUUUGGGAUGCCUUUGGGAAUGUCAUCAGACAGAGGUUCCCACUUGACUGCAGAAACAAAAUGCUUCACUCUUGUUUUGCUCUUCUGACAACAGUUCAAACACUGUUGACGUGGGAGGAAAAUUUACAUGUCUUUUUAGUGCCAAAGGUGAUCCAAGUGUUGCCCACAAGUGUCUGUAUUAAGUAAGCAAGACUCUGUAAGGAAUCUGGAAACUGUGUGUGUAAUGUAAAGCCCUGUGUGGCUGUCACUGAAGUGCUGAGGCUGAACAACAGCCCCUGAGCCAAAGCUGAGCUCUAGAUGAACCUUCCAACCUAAUGGGCUGUGUCUCCAUGUAUCUGCUCCUGAGCUAAAACUGGGUCUAUUUGUUGGUACAAAUGUGGUGGGAUGGGACUCCACCUGUGUAUCUGCUCCUGAACCAAACAGGUGUGCUUCUUAGGAAGAUCUGUUAGUCUGGGCUCAUCAGUGAAUCCUGUUUGUAUCUGUUCCUUAACAAAAGAUGUCUGAUUGUGAGCAAAAUCUGAUCUUUCUGUAUCUGGAGAGUGGUGGAGGCCAUGGCAGUCGAUGUCUGGCCUUGUUUGGCAGUGGCUGGUGCAGGGGGAGCCUUGGUUUGGGAGAAGUAGAACAUUGCUCCCAAGAUUCUGCUCUGGCCAAAUAAGGAACAACAGAAUCUUAGAGAAGUCCUGGAGAAUUGGAUCAGGGCUGGAACUCAAGCUCACAGGAUGUGAGCUGAGCUCUGGGGACCCAGAGAAGAUCAAACCAAACAUGACGGUCUCUGUGGGGAAAAGCAGUGAUGCUGAGAACCGAGGUCAAGAAGCAGACACCUGAGCUUUGGGGGGCACCAGAUGCCAAAAAACCCACCAGAGACCCCCAGAGAAGACCCCAAAUGACCAAGUAGGGACUUGCAAUAGGGGUGUGACUGUGUAAAGCACAGUAAUGGACAUGUGUUCAGUAAGGGGGAAUAUCCAAUGCCUCUGGAAUCAGUGUGUGUAAUCCCAAGCCCUGCCUGUGUCCCUGAGCAGGCUGGAUUAGAAGAACUCUCCUGCAGGCGUCCAGCACGCUGCCCUAAAGAAUGCCUGCUUCUUAACACCUCCCAGCUGGGGUUAAGGACUUGCUUUCUGCUGCUUUUGGGCACCAUUUCUGGCCCCAGAUGGGACCCUCUGCCUGAUCUCCCGUGGAUCCGAGGGAUCUCUGGAUCUUCACGCCGGCCCCAGGACUUUCCUGGAGAAGACCACAGAUCCCUGGACUGGUCUGGGAUGGGGGAAGAUCCCAUUGGAUAAUAAGGCAUUCUUUUGGGGAAUCCUGUCCCUCUAAGACGUGUGGAUCUUCCAGCUCUUUGGGUGGGUUAUUUGGUGUUCCCCCAUUUGGUCUCUGGCUUUGUUUUCUCCACUGAUCCUUGUUUUGUGUUUGUAUUUGUUUCUGCACUGUAACAUUUGUCCAAGUGGGUUCUUGGUCCAAAACUGACCCCAGCUGUACAAGCAGUGAGUCAACAGUGUGGUGUGUGGAAGAGAAAUAAUCCAAACCCUGCCACUGGAGUGGGAACAGGUGAUGGAAAAUGUAGAAAUGCUGCAGGUGAAUGUUGGCAGAUGGAUGUGACUGAAUUGCCCAGAAAAGGGGGGUGUAAAGAUCUCCUGGUCUUGGGGGAUACCUUCUCUGGGUGGCCAGAGGCUGUUCCUUGUUGCACUAAGCAGGUUGGGAAAGAGACUGCAAUCCUGUUCAGUGCAAUCCUCCCUGUAUUUGGGAUGCCUUUGGGAAUGUCAUCAGACAGAGGUUCCCACUUGACUGCAGAAACAAAAUGCUUCACUCUUGUUUUGCUCUUCUGACAACAGUUCAAACACUGUUGACGUGGGAGGAAAAUUUACAUGUCUUUUUAGUGCCAAAGGUGAUCCAAGUGUUGCCCACAAGUGUCUGUAUUAAGUAAGCAAGACUCUGUAAGGAAUCUGGAAACUGUGUGUGUAAUGUAAAGCCCUGUGUGGCUGUCACUGAAGUGCUGAGGCUGAACAACAGCCCCUGAGCCAAAGCUGAGCUCUAGAUGAACCUUCCAACCUAAUGGGCUGUGUCUCCAUGUAUCUGCUCCUGAGCUAAAACUGGGUCUAUUUGUUGGUACAAAUGUGGUGGGAUGGGACUCCACCUGUGUAUCUGCUCCUGAACCAAACAGGUGUGCUUCUUAGGAAGAUCUGUUAGUCUGGGCUCAUCAGUGAAUCCUGUUUGUAUCUGUUCCUUAACAAAAGAUGUCUGAUUGUGAGCAAAA